rnacentral:tRNA from 1 species
ACCCCGGAAUUGAGAGCUGGCGCGCCCUGGCGGCCACUUCGAGCCGUCGACUGUUAAUCCGUAGGUCCCUGGUUCGAGCCCAGGUCGGGGAGCCA